rnacentral:ncRNA from 1 species
UGUCUCCUCCACCUCCUCCUUAGGUGGAUUAAGCCCGAGCCUCAGCUGCUCGGGCUUUUUUUC